rnacentral:rRNA from 1 species
UACGUAGGGUGCGAGCGUUGUCCGGAAUUACUGGGCGUAAAAAGCUCGUAGGUGGUUUGUCGCGUUGUUCGUGAAAACUCACAGCUCAACUGUGGGCGUGCGGGCGAUACGGGCAGACUGGAGUACUGCAGGGGAGACUGGAAUUCCUGGUGUAGCGGUGGAAUGCGCAGAUAUCAGGAGGAACACCGGUGGCGAAGGCGGGUCUCUGGGCCGAUAUUGACGCUGAGGAGCGAAAGCGUGGGGAGUGAACAGG